rnacentral:lncRNA from 1 species
CUGAGGUGGGGUGGGCGGGAGUUGGGGUAGAGUGAGGGGUUGGCCCAGCAGCUAAAUCAAUGGCUGACCGACUUUGAAAAUUCACAGGAGAGAUAAAAAGACGACAUGACGUCGAAGAAGAAACUUGUGAGAGAGAGAGAGAGAGAGAAGGAAAUAUUCUCUUUUGCUUUCAUUGAAAUCCAAACAAAGCUAGGCACUGCAUCAGAUCUCUGCAAAAAGAGUACGAAAAUUUUAAGAUUAUUGUUUUUAGAUGUUUUCAGAUUAUUCAUUCAAGUUUUCCUUUCGGGAACUUGGGUUUUUCUUUCAAGUUCUUUUGGCAUAAUCUGAUUAUAAUUUUGAAGUUUUGAG